UCCAGUAGAGAAUGAUAAAUGAGAGAGCUUGAGAAUGUUUGUUGUGGUCUGCCGUUGAUCAUCCACUGGGGAAAGCUUGGUGAGUCAUAUAAGUUGAUCGUUGUCAGAUGAGUCAAGAGUUCCUCCAUUCGAUUAGACCGAGCUGAUUGUAGCGCCCAUGUACCAUUCCUCCAGAGCUCAGAGACUGUAGAAGAAAUGGGGAUUCCUGUUUGCCUUGGUCCUAGAGGACCUAUGAAGUUGAUGAGUUGGCCAUACUUCGUCCAAGGAUCAUACCAGAAGUUAACAUCAGCGCCAUUUCCUGGAUCGAUCAAGGUCCAUUGGAUCGCUAUUUGUCUGACAGCAAGGAUCUGCUUGAACAACCAGCAGCCAGAGGAGUUUGAUAGUACAAGUUGUGUUCCAGAGCUCGAGAUUCCUAAGGCCGAGACCUCCACUACGCUUCGGUAGAGUAACCUUGUCCCAUGCGACUCUAGCAACAUAUUUACCCUCAAGUGUACCUUUCCAGAGAAAAGCGUUACACAUUUUAUCAAUAGCGUGGAUGACUUCUUUAGGAGAGGCUCACAAUUUGCAGUCGAUAACUUUCUUGAGUUAAGUGGGAGGCCAAGAUAUCGAAUGGGGAGGGAACCGACGGGGAUACCAGUAGUGGAGACAAUGGAGGUUGUUUCUUCUUCAGAUAAUCCACUUGGGAAGAAACAUGAUUUUUCUACGCUGAUGGCUAGCCCGGAGAAAGCUUUAAAUUCAUCAAGGACUUGGAGAACUCCCUGGACUGAGUUAGAAGAGCCAUCAGUGAAUAUGAGGAUAUCAUCCGCGAAGCAUAAGUGGGUAUGGGGAGAGAGGGUCGCCCUGGCGCAGUCCUCUGGUGCCAUUGAAAAACCCAUGGAGCCUCCCAUUGAUGUCAACAGAGAAGGAAGGUGUAGAAUAACAGGAUGAGAGCCACCGAAUGUACAAGUUUGGCAGGUUGAGCGCUUGGAGACAGGCUGUCAGGAAGUCCCAUCUUACCGAGUCGAAGGCCUUGGCUAUGUCAAUUUUUAAGGGGAAGGAAUCAAGGAGAGCUGAGCAGACUGCGCUGGAGAGAUAGAGAACCUGUCCGAGCGAAUCAUGUCUGCGACCUGUGCAAUCAGAGCUGGUGACGUUUUGUGAGUUAGGGGCCCGAGGAUACUUUGAAAAUGAGAGACCACAACUGUGCCAAUGUCCUCCGGUGAGGAGGCGACAAAACCAUUCAGGCCGAUGAGGACGGUAAUAGUAUUAUACGCUUUCCUGGCUUUUGCCACUUUCUGGAAGUAGCUAGUAUUAAGAUCUCCACACUUUAGCCAGUUGAUUCUCGAUAGCUGUUUGAAGUAUUCCUCUUCCACUCUUUUCAGCAUGUUUAGUUUAUCCAAGAGCUCUUUUUCUGCAGUGAAGUUGGGACCAGUUGGUUGUUGAAGAGAUAGUACCUGCGCAUCAUGAAACAAACUAUUAGUUUCAUUUACUCUUUUUUGAAUCUCUGAGAAGUUUUCUUUGUUUAGCCUCUUUAACUCUCUCUUUAACUCUUUCUGUUUAGCACUCAACAAGGCGAGCGAAUGAAUCUCAGUUUCAGUGCAAGUCCAGAACUCAGCCACCAGGGACAGGAAACCAAGGUGAGAGGGGCUAGGAAUUGAGCAAGACUGCGGGGGUGGAGAUCAAGCCAAUGCUCGUUGAUUAGAGCACGGUCUAAUUUUUUAGCAAUCGGGUCUUCAGGGCGUUUAUUGGACCAGGUGAAUCUCAGGCCAUGAAACCUCAGGUCUCUGAUUUCAAGUUGACUGAGACAUGAGUUGAACUCAACCAUUUGCGGAGUAAAGGAUGUGACGGUAGUGGCCGAGUGUUCAGCAGGAUGAGUGAUCUCGUUGAAAUCGCCUCCAACUAGCCACGGGGAUGAGUCUAGAGAAUGAGAAUGCUGCAGGUUUAAGAGUUCAACCCAUAGCUCAGACCUCUCUUCUACAGUGUUCCCCGCAUAUAUGGCAGUGAAAAAGAAUGGAGCAUCUGGUGGGGUUUCAACCCGACAGGUCAUUGAUUGACGAGACUGAUGCAAGACAGUGACAUUGAUAGAGGGUUUCCAGAUGAUAAUAAUCCGACCAUCAUGGUCAGAGAGGUGAUUAGAGCAGUAAUUCCAGCCAGGACAGAGGGAAUUGAGGACAGGGAUCAAAUUGGGUUCUUUGAGAUGGGUUUCUAAAAGGGCACCUACACUAAUAUGGUGAUUAUAUAUCCAACAUUAUUAAUUUGUUUAUUUCUGUUUAUUUCUGUUUUAUAUUAAACCCAACAUUAUUAAUUUGUUUAUUUCUGUUUUGUUUAA